CCUAGACAUAAAGGUAAGGGUGGUGCCUGGUCAGUGCUUCCGGAUAAGAUAUAAACCGCAGGUAAACACACGGCUUAGCGUGAGGCUGGUAAUGUAGCAUAAUUAUUUGGCCUUUAAUUGGGGUCUUGAGAAUGGUGAAACGAUUUCCUGGCUGUCUCCUUUCCCAUCUUUUUUAAUUUGGAGUCGAGGUCAAGAUACCUUGACAAUUAUGCAAGACGAGAAGACCCCGUGAACCUUUACUAUAGGAGCUAAUUGAACCUUUCAUUUUCUGUGAAUAGAGAGCAAAGAGCUUUUGGUAGUUUGGCUGGGGUGGCCGCUUUCUAAUAAAAAACGAAAGUCUAGAACUCAAGCUCCGUUAAGCAGUUUGAAAUUAGUAGUCCAGAGGAUAAAGUUGUGUUUUAGGUCAGUGGACCUCACUAAAGGGGUUUUAGAACAUCAAACGAUACAAGGUACUCUGGGGAUAACAGCGUUAUCCGAAGAGAGAGACUAAAUCCGGCUUCGGGUUUGCGACCUCGAUGUUGAAUUGGGCUAACCGGUUGG
rnacentral:rRNA from 1 species